rnacentral:rRNA from 1 species
UGGGGAAUUUUGGACAAUGGGCGAAAGCCUGAUCCAGCAAUGCCGCGUGUGUGAAGAAGGCCUUCGGGUUGUAAAGCACUUUUGUCCGGAAAGAAAUGGCUCUGGUUAAUACCUGGGGUCGAUGACGGUACCGGAAGAAUAAGGACCGGCUAACUACGUGCCAGCAGCCGCGGUAAUACGUAGGGUCCAAGCGUUAAUCGGAAUUACUGGGCGUAAAGCGUGCGCAGGCGGUUGUGCAAGACCGAUGUGAAAUCCCCGAGCUUAACUUGGGAAUUGCAUUGGUGACUGCACGGCUAGAGUGUGUCAGAGGGGGGUAGAAUUCCACGUGUAGCAGUGAAAUGCGUAGAGAUGUGGAGGAAUACCGAUGGCGAAGGCAGCCCCCUGGGAUAACACUGACGCUCAUGCACGAAAGCGUGGGGAGCAAACAGGAUUAGAUACCCUGGUAGUCCACGCCCUAAACGAUGUGCAACUAGUUUGUUGGGGGAUUCAUUUUCCUUAGUAACGUAGCUAACGCGUAGUAGUGACCGCCUGGGGAGUACGGUCGCAAGA